rnacentral:rRNA from 1 species
UACGGAGGGUGCGAGCGUUAUCCGGAUUUACUGGGUUUAAAGGGUGCGUAGGCGGACUGUUAAGUCAGUGGUGAAAGAUUCGGGCUCAACCCGAAAAUUGCCAUUGAUACUGGCAGUCUUGAGUACAGUUGAGGUAGGCGGAAUGUGUCAUGUAGCGGUGAAAUGCAUAGAUAUGACACAGAACACCGAUUGCGAAGGCAGCUUGCUAAACUGUAACUGACGCUGAGGCACGAAAGUGUGGGGAUCAAACAGG